rnacentral:rRNA from 1 species
GAUGAACGCUAGCGGGAGGCCUAACACAUGCAAGCCGAGCGGUAGAGUUUCUUCGGAAACUUGAGAGCGGCGUACGGGUGCGGAACACGUGUGCAACCUGCCUUCAUCUGGGGGAUAGCCUUUCGAAAGGAAGAUUAAUACCCCAUAAUAUAUUGAUUGGCAUCAAUUAAUAUUGAAAACUCCGGUGGAUAGAGAUGGGCACGCGCAAGAUUAGAUAGUUGGUGAGGUAACGGCUCACCAAGUCAGUGAUCUUUAGGGGGCCUGAGAGGGUGAUCCCCCACACUGGUACUGAGACACGGACCAGACUCCUACGGGAGGCAGCAGUGAGGAAUAUUGGACAAUGGGUGAGAGCCUGAACCAGCCAUCCCGCGUGCAGGAAGACGGCCCUAUGGGUUGUAAACUGCUUUUGCGCAUGAAGAAUGUUACCGACGUGUCGGUAAGUGACGGUAAUGCGUGAAUAAGCAUCGGCUAACUCCGUGCCAGCAGCCGCGGUAAAAC